rnacentral:lncRNA from 1 species
AACAAACUACUUUGAGAAAAUAGCCCUAUUUCGCAAAAACGACUGAUGUGGACAAAUAUGGCUAGAUAUGCAAGAUUUGGCUAAGACCCCGCGAAACCAAGAACCUAAGACUUACUAGGAAGACCGGACACUAUGUGGGCUGCCUACAUAUCCCGCCCCGAAGGACGAUAAUCAGGUAUGCGUAGUUCGUGAAGAUUGGAUACAGGAGAGAAAUUAAAAAACACUUAUUUGGAGAAAACAUUUUUUUCUGAAAAAUGAUGAAACAUGUAAAAUAUUUUUUGAUUUUUCUUUUUCUCUUUUUUUUCUUCUAAUUUUUUGAAAAUAAUGGGAAGUGCAAAAUCCUUUUGGAUUUUCAUUUUCAAAUUUUUUUUUGGCUUUUCUUGAAAAAGUUGUGAAAGAAGAAUAUAAUUGGGCCCUACUUGCUUCAUCUUUAUACCCUCAACCAUCAUUGGUCCAUCAAAUGACCUAUUUACCCUAAAAGAAUGCAAUAUCUAACACAUAGGGAUGAUCAAAUAUCUUUUUGCGCCAUUGGCCCGUUUUGACAUAAUUUGGAUAGGCCUCCUACAAAGGGACACGAUGCUUGGGACCGAGCCCUGAUAAGUGUAAAUGACAUGAUACAAAUAAGCAUGACCUAAAGGCUGACCUAAGUUUGGGUUUCACUAGACAAAGGCAAUUCGGGGCGACACGCGGUCGAUGGCUGCUCUAGCUGUCCGCCCACUCCACGCUCUCAUGCCACCCCCUAAAGACAUAGGUGAUUCACAAAAAGGUUGUGUAUGCUAUAACGUACUCUGGAAGACUUGUUGCAGAAAGAAAACUCAUGGUUAUGCAAAUGAUGACAGUUAUAAAGCGGUAAACACACAGGAAAAGCGAUAAACAAAUCACCAACAAAAUAGGAAACAAGACAAACAAAGCAAAUAAACAAAGCAAAUAAAGAAAACAAACACCUCAACCGAAUAUCCUAAAAGCCAACAAGAUCAAGUAUCAACUCGAACCUGCAACUCCCCGAUAGAUUCGUCAAAGCUAUCACACCCCUUUUUUACCUCACUAACCUUCUUAAAAUUAACAAAAAGAUUUGGAAAGCUCAAAAGGGUUUUCAAUUGGAAUAUAACAAAAAACAAUGUUCAAAAGGACUUUUUAGAGUUGCCACCUAACAUUUGAUUUCGGUGUAUCAGGUCACUGUUUUUAGAAAUAAUUUUUCCUUUUAAAACACUUUAGACUCCAAAACUAAGUCUGCACCAGAGAUUCAGGUAAGAUCAAUUGACUCGGGGAGAAUGUGUUAGGCAUUCCCCGAGUCCCGUGGAAAUCACGGUUGCGUACCCGAUCUAAUUGGCUUUCAGAAAUAUUCAAAUUGAGGUAGAAACACACAAAAAGAAAAAAUAAACAUAGAAGAGGCUCGAGAUUGCCCCACCUAAUAAAAGAAAAAUAAAAAAAAAUAAAAUAAUAAAAAGUAAAAUCCUAAGCUAACCUACACUAUACUUCCUCCACGGUAUAGUUUCGGCCUCCGUUUACAUUCACCUCGGGGCAUACCCCUGAUAAAAGAAUAUAAAAUAUAUAUAUAUAUAUAUAUGUAUGUGUGUGUGUACAAACUCUACGGGCAUUCCCCUAGAUAUAAACUAAAGGGAACGACCUCUUACCUCGAGUAAAAUAAAGGACAAGACCUAAAGUUGCCUACCCGAGUGAUGACGACCUAACAUGCUCCAAGCAGUUUAAUUAAUAAGAGUUAGAAUAAAAGAAGUGAUAAAACAUUUUAAAACCCAGUCCAGUAUGAUUUUAAUUUUUAGUCCAAACCCACAGCCCUAGACCUUUCAAACAUCCAAGCAAUCAUCUAAUCUACUCAACUUUGUUAACUUAAUUUUCCAUCACUAUACUAUUAAUCCUAAAACCUCGAAACAUUUACCUUUUAAUAAAGCAUUGCAAAUGAAACUUCAAGUUUACUUUAUCUUUUAAGAAUUCAUCCGAAUAUAAAAAUAUAUGGAAGAAACACACGAACAAUAAUCAAAAGAAGGGAAAAAAACGCAAACAAAUUCUACUAAGGCAUCACGAGCAAAAUGAAACAUUAAUUCAAAAGAUCAACAAAACACAUCAAAGAGAGAUUAACGAGAUUGGAAGCAAUGAAUUAAGCCAAAAAAUAGUACAAGAAAGGGAGAAAUAAACCUCGAAUAGAUUUGAAAUUUGACUGUUGGACAGUUUGACGAUACUAAGCAAUGGAACCGUGAAUAAGAUCUAAACCGGAAAACCUCGCUGGAAACCUCGUCGAACUCUGACCGGACUGCCUCGCUACCUCCCUUUACUCAGAUCUGAGCGUCCGCUCCUCCAUCAAAUUCUCACUUUGUUUUUGCGACCUCUUGUUGCACUCUCUCACGUUGCUGCUGCUGGUUUCCGGCGAACUCUGUGGCGUUGCUGGGAAAAGAGGGGUCUUUGAGAGAUGGGUGUGGCUAAAGCUUUUUAAGAGAGGGGUGGAGGUUGCAGCAUGGAGAAGAUGGCAAUAGCAGUAGUGGUUGUUGAUGGUUGUCGGAUUUCCGGCGAUUUGGUGUGGAUGGAGAUGGGUUUGAUAGGGGUGGCUGAUGUGCGGCGUCUGUGAGGUGAGGGAGGAAAGGUUGGAUGCAGCUAGGUUUUCUCUACUGCAUCUGUGUUCCCCCUAUUCUUUUUGUUAUUUUCUUGUCCCUCUUUUUUACUUGUCUUAUGUAUUUGUGCUUGAACAAGAAAG